UGGGAAAUGUUUUAAACAUGCUAAUCAUCUCCUGUGUACACACUACACGAACACCUCCAUACUUCUUCUUCGUCUUCUUCAUUUAAUUUUUUUUUCUUUCUUGGUUGCGACUCUCUCUCUCUUUCUCGCCCGCGCGCGCUUUC
rnacentral:ribozyme from 1 species